rnacentral:rRNA from 1 species
AUUGAACGCUGGCGGCAGGCUUAACACAUGCAAGUCGAGCGGAGAUGAGGUGCUUGCACCUUAUCUUAGCGGCGGACGGGUGAGUAAUGCUUAGGAAUCUGCCUAUUAGUGGGGGACAACAUUCCGAAAGGAAUGCUAAUACCGCAUACGCCCUACGGGGGAAAGCAGGGGAUCUUCGGACCUUGCGCUAAUAGAUGAGCCUAAGUCGGAUUAGCUAGUUGGUGGGGUAAAGGCCUACCAAGGCGACGAUCUGUAGCGGGUCCGAGAGGCAGGCCCGCCAGCCUGGGACGGACACCCGGCCCAGACUCCUACGGGAGCCAGCAGUGGGGAAUAUUGGACAAUGGGCGGAAGCCUGAUCCAGCCAUGCCGCGUGUGUGAAGAAGGCCUUUUGGUUGUAAAGCACUUUAAGCGAGGAGGAGGCUACCUGGAUUAAUACUCUAGGAUAGUGGACGUUACUCGCAGAAUAAGCACCGGCUAACUCUGUGCCAGCCGCCGCCGUAACAC